rnacentral:rRNA from 1 species
CAGCCGCCGCGGUAACACCAGCUCUUCAAGUGAUCGGGAUGAUUAUUGGGUUUAAAGCGUCCGUAGCCGGAUCUGUUAGUCCUUGCUUAAAUACCGCAACUUCAUUGUGGAACCGGUAAGGAUACUGCAGUUCUAGGGAAUGGGAGACGCUCGACGUACUUGCAGGGGAGCGGUGAAAUGUUUUGAUCUUGCAGGGACGAACUGUGGCGAAGGCUUCGAGCGAGAACAUGUUCGACGGUGAGUGGACGAAAGCGUAGGGAGCAAAGAGGAUUAGAGACCCUCGUAGUCUACGCUGUAAACGAUACCCGCUUAAUGUUUCAACAAUCUUGAAUUGUUGAAGUGUUGUAGGGAAACCGGUAAGCGGGUCACCUGGGAAGUACGAUUGCAUGAUUGAAACUUAAAGGAAUUGACGGGAAUCGACUCCAAAGAGUGAAGCUUGCGGCUUAAUUGGACUCAACACCCGAAAUCUUAGCAGACGCUGCUUAUUAUGAAGGACAGAUUGAUUAUCUUUCCAGAAGAAAGCAAGGGUGGUGCAUGGCC